AUGACCUGUGUGGAAAAGCGACACAUGAGCCAUCGGGUGGGGAGCAUGCUCCACCAUCGCUUCCCCAACGGCUUCACCGACUUGUUCAUGGACGAGACCGAUCGUGAGGUCAGCACUCUCACCGAUCGGGCCUUUCGAAGUCUCUGCGUUGGAGAUGAGGCGGUUUACAAUGACGAGCUAUUGUAUGGAUACUCACCUUUCAGCUGCCACAAACCUUUAGUGGGGGAUCCUCUUAAAAAGAGUCAUCACAAGGAAUCUAAAAACCAAGGGCAAAGCAAAACUGACAAGAACUAUGCCCAGCCGUGGAAACAGCAGCAACAGAAGAAUAUAUCCCACAUGUCGUCGUUCCUGAAAUCAUUAAGUGCCACAGAGGAAAGCUGUGACGGGAUGUUGAUCAAAAAUGGAGGUACAACAGAUUCUAACGGGGAAUCGUGGGAUAAGUCUGCACUUCGCAGCAUCCAAAGAGAGCUAUCGGAAUUCUCCUCGGAUUAUCAGACUAAUCUCACAGAUGGACAUUACAAGGACCAUCAUUGGCUUCACUCUGGUGAUGGUUCAUCAAGCAAAACAUGCAAAGAUGCUGCUCUUCCCUCAGGAAAAUCCUCAAAGAGCAAAAAUGGGAAAUCCACCAUUAAAGUCAGGAAACUUAACAUUAAAAACUUUUUCCUCCACAGCGAGUUUAGCCCUUUCCAAACAUGGAGAGAUUUUAACCGGUUCCCCUUUGGCCAAGAGGACACCACUAUUCUCCCCACAGACAAUAUACCUAAAUGGUAUGACUUGUCUUUUUACAAGGAGCUGACAGAGGCACACAGAAAAGAGACUCUGCAUACAGAGGAGGCACAGUCAGGCCAGAAAGCGGCAGUUGAGCCCCCUCCUCCCAUUGCUCCUAAACCCAUCCCUCCCCCUCCUCCGCCAAAAGUCCUGCCAAAGCCCUCAGCCACUCCGGCUGAGAAGAGGUGCUCAUCAGAAGGAGGGGAUGGGAGUGCUGCCCCCUGGAGGCGCAACAGGUCCCGGGCAAGAAGUGUGAUUCCACUCAAUCAGCCUGGGAUACCACCUCAGGAAAACUGUUUAAAAACAUUGGAUGAAAGUCCUUGGUUGGUCAAAAAGGAAGCUAGAUCUGUGGAGGUGAAAGCAAUUGAGGAAGUCAGCUCUUUGGCAUCGACUCCGUUCAGCAUCUGCCAGCUGAUGACUCCCCUAAUUCCCUCCAGACAACCGACAGAAACAUCAGAAAUCCUCCAAACUGUCUUCUCGCUCUCUGCACUCGACCUCCCACUAAGACCACACUCUGAGGCCAAACUGACCCCUGAACCUCCAGUCAAGCGGGACAGCUACAAAGCACUCGCCUCGAGCAUCCUCUUCAACCUCAAAGACAACAGGAAAAGGGUGAAAAGCCGUUACAGCCCUCCUAAAUUCAAAGCAUUAGAAGUGCCUGAGGGUGGCAUCCAAUCUCCACAAUCAGAUCAUCUGAAAUACCCACAAGCUUUCUCUGAGGGUUAUGCGUCAGGCUUAAGCACUCCUGCCAUUUUAAAAGAUGGACAGACAGUCUGCAGUCCUGUUUUGGAAUCUAACAGCACCCCAACUUUUGGUCAUACUAAGAAUGAUACUGAUAGACCUCUUUCAGAUGAUUAUUUGUUAUCAAAUCUAUUGCAAACCAAAAGGGAGGCUGCAGGUAGUCUUGGUGAGGAGAACCCCAUCUCCCCCUUUAUACACUCAAAAAAGAAUCCCAAGGCUAAAAAGCAGAACUACCCGUCUCUGAAUUUGUACAAGAAAGCCAACCCUGUUGACAGUGACAUGAAGUAUCUUCUAGUCCCUCUGAGCCCCGGUGCUCCUAUACAUGUAGACCAACCGACUGAGACAAAUGAACUUUUACUACUCACGCUAAACAAAGAACUCUCUCCAAAAGAACUGCCAAAAAACACAGGGCUUUCACCAAAUACUUUAAAUGUCAACAAAGAUCGUUCACCCAUAUUUGCACCCGAUGCACUUGAGAAAGAGGGGUUGUCAUCAAAUGUAUCAGUAGGGAAAAGAGCACCAAAUGUACCAGACAAAGCAAAACGACCUGUGAAAGACAUUAAAGAAAAAUACUUCAGCUCUAAGGAAAAAUGUACUAGUGGACAAUCCAUAAGUACAACAGACGUGAUCAGAGCAGCAAGGGAAGCAAUUAAUGCAGCCAAACACAAAGCUCUAUCUGAAGCGCACUCAGGUAACAUGAAUAAGCACAUUGCAGACACAGAAGAACUGAGAGAGAAAGAAAUAGAUAUGAAGUUCUAUUCAAAAGAAAUGUUUGUCAGCAAGAGGGAGAGUUCUGAGCCAGAAAACAACAAUGUUUUAUCUCAGAGUAGAAAUGAACCAACAAUGGUCGGCAGAAGAGGUAUUGUCAAGAAAGAGCCCCCGCCAGUUCCAAAGAGAAAUUUUGCUAAAUCUGAUAUUCAACUCUCUCUUGACAACCAGCAAACAUAUAAUGUGGACAAGCUCACUAAUGGUGAUUCGGGGGAUGCACAAUUAGAUCUACCACCAAACGAAAAGGAAUCGCUUCAGAAACAGGGCAAACUUAAACAUGUAUUCUCAGCCAGACAGAACAAUUACAUAAAAUAUCAGAGAUAUGCAGAGACAGAUGAUGAACAAGGAGAUGAGUUUGAGGAAGGUGAUCUGAAAGUGAAGACAGGAAUGGAAGCGGAUGAGGAGACGAUGUCGCUUAGAGACAGCGAGCAUAUAAUUAAUGAUUUGCAUGCUUUGAAAGAGCUGGAGAAAGCAAGGCUUGGCGAUCGUGUUCUGGACACCACAAAGAACACAUCAGGUGUUAUUAACAUAGACGAGGAGACGAGGGCUAAGAAUGAUUUGAUCUCAAGGGAGCUGAGGAAUAUUAAGAAGGGCAUGCUGUCUAUGAGAGGGAACACAACGUUUAAGAGAGAACUAUUUUCACAGAAAGAGAAGGAUCAGAACAAGCAUGAGACUUUCACAAAGGUAGACAAUAACGUCAUAGUAAACAAAACACUUAUAAAUAACAACUAUGACAGAGCAAAAAUGGCUCUUGAAGAGAUCAUCUCAGACAGGCAGAAGAGAAAGAAUAGAUCCACAGAGCAGGAUUCAAAUCCAAUAUUUGAUGAGAACGCUGAUGAAAGUUAUGUAACAAGGGUACAGCAACGUAAGAAAGCCAUGAAAGAAUCUAUGACAGAAGCCAUGGACAAACAAAAUGGCAGCACUGUGGCACUAAAAGAGAAAGAUUUAAAAGAGAGGUUAGGUAACUUAAGAGACCACAAUCACAUGAGACAGAUCCUGUCACAAACUGAGCCUCCACUUGGUGAGACUCACAGAUCAGCUGGUCGGUUUGCGGUACCUGGGAUGGACAAAAUUGACGAUCCUAGCUAUGAAUCAGAAGAUGUGAAUUUGAGAGACAUAGUGAGACAAAUAUCUGAAGAGAGCGGAGAGAGUCUGAUGAACCAAAAUGAAGACAAAAAGGGAGAUGCUCCUCCUGUUCCGCCUAGGAGCAAAAAGGGAGGGAGUAGAAGAGAUGGAAGUGUUACUAAGGAGACAGAUAGUUUGAAAGAUGUAAGAGAAGAGGAUAUCUUUAACGAAGAUGUAAAGUGUGAAUAUGGUGAGGUACACUUAAAAGAGAUGAGGAGUACGGGCUCAGUAAAACAAAAAGUAGAUAGUGACCUGUCCACAAGAGAAGCCGGUCAAAGUGGAACCAGUCCUGUUAAAGAGAGGUGGGAUGUGAUGAAUAAUGCAAUUAUAUGUGAGUCCAUCUCACCUUUAAAAUACCCACAAUCUGAAAAUAGAUUGUUUUUAUCACCAGAGUCAAGAGGAAAUGAAAAUAAGGCAUUUAACUUGCAAGUAGAUAUGAGCCCAACAAGGGAAGCCAUGUUUGAAAAAAGCAAUGCCAGGCCGCAGGAAACAUACAAGGUUAAGCGGAAGGCUCCCCUAAAACCAGACCAUUUAAAAACACCAGAUGACAAUGUAACUAAUAAUUUAGUGCCAGAAGAACCUGACAAAAUAAAUAUAGCAAGUGAGGAAAUACAUGUGCAUGCAGAGGCUCUUGGUGAAAUGCCCAGGGAUAUAAUAUCACCCUUACUACUGGUAAAUGGUAUAAGCAUCAAUCAGAGCCCACCCGAUCAAGGCAGCUUGUCCUCAAAAUCAUCCUACUUCUCUGCAGAGAGUGCACUUCACAGAAACACUGAGACAGAGUCAAACGUGUACCACUCUCUGGAGAACUUGAUUGGAGAGGUGGAUGAGGUUGAUGAAGUGACGCGGAAUAUUUCACAAAACACAAAACAGGAUUCGGAGAGGACGGAAGUGGAAUAUUAUUCGUUGAGUGAACAUGAAAGCGAGCCGGAGGUUGUAAAGCAACCAAUAACAUCUCCUCAGAAAGAAACAGAAGUAGCGUACAUGGACAGCAAAGAAAGAGGCAAUACCACGGCAGAUCCAGCCUUAGCUCAUGAUGAAAAUAAUCAGACACCAAUGUCGCCCUCCAACAUUUUCUCACCAACUUUGGGGAUCCCUGCCUUAUUUAAGGUCAAAGACAACACUUGUAAUAAGGUGAAGUUGAAGACUGUCCAACCGUGGUCACCAAGAGGGAUUCUGAGUGCUUCAGAGAGGGGAGAGGAGUUACAUCAAGUGAAGGAAAAUCCAGAGCUCCCUCCGGCUAAUGAGCCUGUCACCAGAGGUAGCACACCGAUCCCGGAUGAAGUCUUCAAUCCUAAAGAUAUUCAAUCAAACAUUUUACCUUACCUGCUGCUGUCUCCUUCAAAUCUUCAAAGCGAAAACCCAAAGACACCACAAGUUGGAGGGUUCCUCACUGUCCCACAGGAGGAAGACAGAUUGUCUGGCGUGAGUCCGUCAUCUGAAGGAGUGGAGAGCUUAAUAACAAGCACAGCUGACACCGCUGAUGAGCUGGGAGCGAAUGGUGGAGUUUCGAAGGUUCCCAGUGAACGGUCUGGGUCCACCUGCAGUGGUAGUGAAAGCCAAACAGGGCUGCCUAAACCACCAGUUGUCUUACCCAAAUCUGAAAAGGCUGUUCUGAAAGCCAUUAAGCUGGGAAAUAGAAGGAUGAAGAAGGAGGAGGCACAGAAGUCGCCCCACAAGUCGUCUCAAAGCAGCAGCAAACAAAGAGUGGAUAGACACAAGAGCGACAAAUCCGAGCACAAAAGCAGCAGCAGUAGAACAACUAGCAAGAGCAGUGAGAUAAAUCACAGAGAAAAGACUGACGACGGUCAUCGUCACAAUGAAAGUCAGCACGGCAAAGACAGUCACGACCAAAGUGAGCAGCUACCGUGUGAAAGAAGAGGCCACAACAGUGAAAACCACCAUCACAAUCAGACAGACGUACGCCACAAGACUCAGAGACAGAGCCAUGAUUCUGUGGAAAGCAGUUCCCAGAACAAUGAAGCACUGCCCAGUGUUGCAACAGAAAGGACAAGGUCGCAGCAGCAACAAACACAUUAG
rnacentral:lncRNA from 1 species